UCCAUGGGAACCCUGGUGUUCUUCUGUCCAAGAUUAUCUCCAACUACCUCCAGGGAUCCAUUGGAGAAAGACACCAGUUUUUGAGCCAACUACUACAAUUCUUAUAAUGUGGAUACCAUUGUGUCUUAAAGUGAUGGAUUAGAGACUUUAAGCAUGCUUCAGCCACAUGGACAUAGCACAAUAGUGCAUAAAUGUCAACUCUCUGAGCUUUAAUUUAAGAAGAAGAAUAGGAAUCCACCAGAAUCAUGUAGGAGACACCAGAUCCAGGGAAGGAGAAUGGAGACAAACUGCCCCCAUGAUGGCAUCCAACUAAUAAAAUAGGGAAGGGAUUUCACUAUAUUGCCAGGUGGAUCUUGAACUCUUGAUCUCAAGUGAUUCACCUGCCUUGGCCUCCCGAACUGCUGGGAUUACAGACAAACAGGGAGCCAAAUCAUGAGUGAACUCCCAUUCACAAUUGCUUCAAAGAGAAUAAAAUACCUAGGAAUCCAACUUACAAGGGAUGUGAAGGACCUCUUCAAGGAGAACUACAAAACACUGCUCAAGGAAAUAAAAGAGGAUACAAACAAAUGGAAGAACAUUCCAUGCUCAUGGGUAGGAAGAAUCAAUAUCGUGAAAAUGGCCAUACUGCCCAAGAUUCAAUGCCAUCCCCAUCAAGCUACCAAUGACUUUCCUCACAGAAUUGGAAAAAUCUACUUUAAAUUUCAUGUAGAACCAAAAAAAAAGCCUGCAUCACCAAGUCAACCCUAAGCCAAAAGAACAAAGCUGGAGGCAUCCCGCUACCUGACUUCAAACUAUACUACAAGGCUACAGUAACCAAAACAGCAUGGUACUGGUACCAAAACAGAGAUAUAGAUCAAUGGAACAGAACAGAGCCAUCAGAAAUAAUG